UCUCCGUAGGUGAACCUGCGGAGGGAUCAUUACUGAGUGAGGGCUCACGCCCGACCUCCAACCCUUUGUGAACACAACUUGUUGCUUCGGGGGCGACCCUGCCGUUUCGACGGCGAGCGCCCCCGGGGUCAAUCAAACACUGCAUUCUCUGCGUCGGAGUAUUAGUAAAUCUAAUCAAAACUUUCAACAACGGAUCUCUUGGUUCUGGCAUCGAUGAAGAACGCAGC
rnacentral:misc_RNA from 1 species